AUUGAACGCUGGCGGCAGGCUUAACACAUGCAAGUCGAGCGGAGAUGAGGUGCUUGCACCUUAUCUUAGCGGCGGACGGGUGAGUAAUGCUUAGGAAUCUGCUUAUUAGUGGGGGACAACAUUCCGAAAGGAAUGCUAAUACCGCAUACGUCCUACGGGAGAAAGCAGGGGAUCUUCGGACCUUGCGCUAAUAGAUGAGCCUAAGUCGGAUUGGCUAGUUGGUGGGGUAAAGGCCUACCAAGGCGACGAUCUGUAGCGGGUCUGAGAGGAUGAUCCGCCACACUGGGACUGAGACACGGCCCAGACUCCUACGGGAGGCAGCAGUGGGGAAUAUUGGACAAUGGGGGGAACCCUGAUCCAGCCAUGCCGCGUGUGUGAAGAAGGCCUUAUGGUUGUAAAGCACUUUAAGCGAGGAGGAGGCUACUGAGACUAAUACUCUUGGAUAGUGGACGUUACUCGCAGAAUAAGCACCGGCUAACUCUGUGCCAGCCGCCGCGGUAACAC
rnacentral:rRNA from 1 species